rnacentral:rRNA from 1 species
GACGAACGCUGGCGGCGUGCUUAACACAUGCAAGUCGAACGGAAAGGCCCUGCUUGCAGGGUACUCGAGUGGCGAACGGGUGAGUAACACGUGGGUGAUCUGCCCUGCACUUCGGGAUAAGCCUGGGAAACUGGGUCUAAUACCGGAUAGGAGCCAUUUUUAGUGUGAUGGUUGGAAAGUUUUUUCGGUGUAGGAUGAGCUCGCGGCCUAUCAGCUUGUUGGUGGGGUAAUGGCCUACCAAGGCGGCGACGGGUAGCCGGCCUGAGAGGGUGGACGGCCACAUUGGGACUGAGAUACGGCCCAGACUCCUACGGGAGGCAGCAGUGGGGAAUAUUGCACAAUGGGCGCAAGCCUGAUGCAGCGACGCCGCGUGGGGGAUGACGGCCUUC